rnacentral:rRNA from 1 species
UCAAGCUACAAAGAGCACAAGGGGAAUGCCUUGGCACCGAGAGCCGAAGAAGGACGUGACUAACUGCGAUAAGCUGCGGGGAGCCGUAAGUAGGCUUUGAUCCGCAGAUUUCCGAAUGGAGCAAUCCGGCAAGAGGAAAGUCUUGUCAUCAUAUACUGAAUACAUAGGUAUAUGAGGGGAACCGCCUGAACUGAAACAUCUAAGUAGGGCGAGGAAGAGAAAUCAACUGAGAUUCCGUAAGUAGUGGCGAGCGAACGCGGAAGAGGCCAAACCGAGAGUAGUAAUACUUUCGGGGUUCGGACAGCGGACGGUAUGCUGAAGGUUAGCAGAAGGACAUGGGACGGUCCACCAAAGAGAGUGAGAGUCUCGUAUGCGAAAACUGAAAGCAGCCAGCUGAAUCCAGAGUACCGCCGGACACGUGAAACCCGGUGGGAAUAUGGGGGGACCAUCCUCCAAGCCUAAAUACUACCCAGUGACCGAUAGCGUAUAGUACUGUGAAGGAAAGGUGAAAAGCACCCCGGGAGGGGAGUGAAAAAGAACCUGAAACCCUGUGCCUACAAGCACCUAGAGCACGUCAAUGUGUGAUAGGGUACUUUUUGUAGAACGGUCCGGCGAGCGAUUGUAUGCAGCAAGGUUAAGGACUUAAGGUCUGGAGCCGAAGCGAAAGCGAGUUUGAAAAGGGCGUUAAGUUGCAUACAAUGGGCCCGAAACCGGGUGACCUACCCAUGGUCAGGUUGAAGUGGAAGUAAAAUUCCAUGGAGGACCGAACCGACCUCCGUUGAAAAGGCGGCGGAUGAACUGUGGGUAGCGGAGAAAUUCCAAUCGAACCCGGAGAUAGCUGGUUCUCUCCGAAAUAGCUUUAGGGCUAGCCUUGAAAUAGAUUACCGGAGGUAAAGCACUGAAUUGGCUAGGGGCCGAGAGGUUACUGAACCUUAUCAAACUAAGAAUGCCGGAUAAUCGUUUUUCAGGAGUCAGACAGUGGGAGAUAAGUUUCAUUGUCAAAAGGGAAACAGCCCAGACCCACAGCUAAGGUCCCCAAGUAUAGUUAAGUGGAAAAGGAUGUGGAAUUGCACAGACAACCAGGAUGUUGGCUUAGAAGCAGCCACUCAUUAAAAGAGUGCGUAAUAGCUCACUGGUCGAGUGACUCUGCGCCGAAAAUUUAACGGGGCUAAACUAUACACCGAAGCUUGGGAUACAUCUAAUGUAUGGUAGGAGAGCGUUCUGUAUGGGGAGAAGUCGUAGCGAAAGCGGCGGUGGACUAUACAGAAGUGAGAAUGCCGGAAUAAGUAGCGAGAAUUAAGUGAGAAUCUUAAUGGCCGAAAGUCUAAGGUUUUUGGAGGAAGGUUCGUCCGCUCCAAGUAAGUCGGGAGCUAAGGUCAGGCCGAAAGGCGUAGCCGAUGCACAUACGGUUGAUAUUCCGUAACCAUCUGUAAUUUAAGCAAAGGGACACUUCAAAAGGGUGUGACCCGGGCGUUGGUUGACCCGGGCGUAAGGGACCGAAAUUAGAGUAGGGAAGCACACUUGGCUGAAGGCGAGAAAAGCUUUGCGUAUAGAAGCAGAUGCCCGUACCGCAAACCGACACAGGUGGACAGGAAGAGAAUUCUAAGGCCAGCGGGAGAAGGGUAGUUAAGGAACUCGGCAAAUUGACUCCGUAACUUCGGAAUAAGGAGUGCUCGAAAGAGCCGCAGAGAAUAGGCCCAGGCGACUGUUUAGCAAAAACACAGGUCUCUGCCAAAUCGAAAGAUGAAGUAUAGGGGCUGACACCUGCCCGGUGCCGGAAGGUUAAGAGGAGGAGUGAGAGCUCCGAAUUGAAGCCCCGGUAAACGGCGGCCGUAACUAUAACGGUCCUAAGGUAGCGAAAUUCCUUGUCGGGU